rnacentral:RNase_P_RNA from 1 species
AGGUAAGGGUGAAAAGGUGAGGUAAGAGCUCACCGGAUGUCGUGGUGACACGUCAUGCCGCACAUCCUAUGGGUUGCAAGGCCAAAUACACCGGCAAUCAAGGAUUGCUCGUCCAUUGCCGGGGGGUAGGCUGCUCGGCGCGAAAGCGCCGGAGCCGGCUGGCAACAGUCGGUCAAGAUAAAUGACAGACGGGACUUACCUUAAGGCAAGUCCUACAUAACCCGGCUUAUAUCGCUUCUGCAUUC